UUGCACGCUGGCGGCAGGCCUCACACCUGCCAGUCGAGCGGAUGAAGGGAGCUUGCUCCUGGAUUCAGCGGCGGACGGGUGAGUAAUGCCUAGGAAUCUGCCUGGUAGUGGGGGAUAACGUCCGGAAACGGGCGCUAAUACCGCAUACGUCCUGAGGGAGAAAGUGGGGGAUCUUCGGACCUCACGCUAUCAGAUGAGCCUAGGGCGGAUUAGCUAGUUGGUGGGGUAAAGGCCUACCAAGGCGACGAUCCGUAACUGGUCUGAGAGGAUGAUCAGUCACACUGGAACUGAGACACGGUCCAGACUCCUACGGGAGGCAGCAGUGGGGAAUAUUGGACAAUGGGCGAAAGCCUGAUCCAGCCAUGCCGCGUGUGUGAAGAAGGUCUUCGGAUUGUAAAGCACUUUAAGUUGGGAGGAAGGGCAGUAAGUUAAUACCUUGCUGUUUUGACGUUACCAACAGAAUAAGCACCGGCUAACUUCGUG
rnacentral:rRNA from 1 species